CGGGUGAGUAACGCGUGGGUAACCUGCCUCAUACAGGGGGAUAACAGUUAGAAAUGACUGCUAAUACCGCAUAAGCGCACGGGGAUGCAUAUUCUUGUGUGAAAAACUCCGGUGGUAUGAGAUGGACCCGCGUCUGAUUAGCUAGUUGGUGAGGUAACGGCUCACCAAGGCGACGAUCAGUAGCCGACCUGAGAGGGUGGACGGCCACAUUGGGACUGAGACACGGCCCAGACUCCUACGGGAGGCAGCAG
rnacentral:rRNA from 1 species